GACGUAGGGGGCCAGCGUUGCUCGGAAUUACUGGGCGUAAAGGGUUCGUAGGCGGUGCGGCAAGUCGGGAGUGAAAUCUCUGGGCUUAACUCAGGGGCUGCUUCCGAAACUGCCGUGCUUGAGUGCGGGAGAGGCGAGUGGAAUUGCAGGUGUAGCGGUGAAAUGCGUAGAUAUCUGCAGGAACACCCGUGGCGAAGGCGGCUCGCUGGACCAACUGACGCUGAGGAACGAAAAGCUAGGGGGAGCAAACAGG
rnacentral:rRNA from 1 species